rnacentral:rRNA from 1 species
CGAACGCUGGCGGCAGGCCUAACACAUGCAAGUCGAGCGCGCCCUUCGGGGUGAGCGGCGGACGGGUUAGUAACGCGUGGGAACGUACCCUUUGGUAGGGAACUAGCCACUGGAAACGGUGAGUAAUACCCUAUGAGCCCUUCGGGGGAAAGAUUUAUCGCCAAAGGAUCGGCCCGCGUUAGAUUAGGUAGUUGGUGGGGUAAUGGCCUACCAAGCCUACGAUCUAUAGCUGGUUUUAGAGGAUGAUCAGCAACACUGGGACUGAGACACGGCCCAGACUCCUACGGGAGGCAGCAGUGGGGAAUCUUGGACAAUGGGGGCAACCCUGAAUCCAGCCAUGCCGCGUGAGUGAAGAAGGCCUUAGGGUCGUAAAGCUCUUUCGCCUAUGAAGAUAAUGACGGUAGCAGGUAAAGAAACCCCGGCUAACUCCGUGCCAGCCGCUGC